UCACCACACUGUAUAUUACAACAUUUAAAUAUCAUUCUUAUAUUUUCUCCUUUCAUGUCAGAAAUUAGGAAAAUCAAAACUACUUUCUUUUUAAAAUACCGAGUGGUGAAACUGAACUCCUAACCAUGGACAAACUCAGAGGUGGAUGGACCAGUACCAAGCAGAGCAACAGAGUAGGAGGACCCCAACUCCUCUCCAGGACUUACAGGCUAAAGGCCGUUCACUGUGUCAAAGCCAACCUCUCGAACCGUCUACACUUUUCUUCUAGAUAUUGCUGUCUUGUUUAUCUAUUAACAUCUUUUUUUUUUUUUGACAAAACUGGAUUAUUCAGGUGGCAGACUAUAAUUUGCUUUCUAAAAAUCUGAAGAUAAAUUUGCAAUAUUAGAUACAAAGUGAAGAUCUGAACUCUGAGCUUUAAUAUGUUUUAUGACAUUAAUACAUAUUUUAUAUAAGUGGAAACUGAUUUUAUCUAUUAGAAUAAAAAA
rnacentral:lncRNA from 1 species